rnacentral:rRNA from 1 species
GUUUUAAAGCAUUAAAUGAAUUCCUAAACAUUAAAAUUUUAAAUAUGGACGUUUAAUAACGAAAUGUUAGAGUGAGUAAAAGUUUUUGCUGAGAUCUCUAAUUUUCCAUAGAUAGAAAACUAAACUUUGUUAGAUUAAAGUUUAUUUUAAUUUAAAUUAAAAUAAAAAACUUAGUUAACUGAAUCAUCUAAGUAGCUAAGGAAAUAAAUCAACUGAGAUGCCGUAAGUAGUGGCGAGCGAACAUGGUAAAGACGUAAAAAGAUAUUUCUGAUCUAAUUUUUAAGCCAAAGAAGAAUAGCUCUGUAAGAUAAAAGAAAUAUCUUUUUUAAUUAAGUAAAACGAUACAAGUCAUGUAUUGUUUGAAUCUUGGGGGACCACCCUCAAAGUCUAAAAAUUUUAAUGCUUGAUAGUGUACUAGUACUGUGAAGGAAAGGUGAAAUAGAAUUUGUGAAGUUUGAAAUAGAUAAUGAAAUUUAAUGCUGACAAUCAGUUAGAGCCUUGUAAGGUGAUAACGUACCUUUUGUAUAAUGGAUCAACAAGUUUAUUUUAGUGGCGAGCUUAACUAGUUUUAGGUAGGCGUAAAGAAAUUAAGUUUUAAAAUGCUGAAUAGUCUCUAAAAUAAAACCCGAAACUAAGUGAUCUAACCAUGAACAGGUUGAAUUUAAAGCGGUAACGCUUAUUGGAGGACCGAACCCGUGUAUGUGGAAAAAUACUGGGAUGAUUUGUGGUUAGGAGUGAAAGGCUAAUCAAACUUAGAGAUAGCUGGUUUUCUGCGAAAUCUAUUUAAGUAGAGCGAUUAAAUAAAAUUUGUUUUUAGGUAGAGCUCUCGAUAAAUGAUGGGGAUGAAAAUCUUACUGAGUUUAUUGAAACUUCGAAUAAAAAAUGAAAGAUUUUAAUUAGACAGACUAUGAGUGCUAAGAUUCAUGGUCAAGAGGGAAACAGCCCAGAUUAAUGGUUAAGGUCCUUAAAAAUAAUUAAGUGAAAAAAAUGUUAAUAAGUGUUGACAACCAGUAGGUUAGCUUAGAAGCAGCUAUCCUUUAACAAUUGCGUAAUAGCUUCCUGGUCUAGCUUUAAUUUGCAUUGAAAAUGUAAAGGGACUUAAAUUAUUUACCGAAACCGUAAAUUUAACUAAAAGUUAAAUGGUAGCAGAACGUUCUGUAAGUCUAUGAAGAUUUAUGGUAACAUAAAUUGAAGAUAUCAGAAGUGAAAAUGUUGAUAUGAGUAGCGAUAAACAGUGUGAAAAACACUGUCGCCUUAAGUCUUAGGUUUCCAAAACAAGGCUAAUCCUUUUUGGUAAGUUAAUCGGUCUCUAAGAAAAUAAACGAAAGUUUUUUUCGAUGGGAAUAUAUUUUAAGUGACAAAAUAAAAACAUUAUUUUUAUUUUAUGGUUUAAAUAAAAGUUUUGUAUUAUUUUCAAGAAAUAGCUUAAAUUAAAUAAACCGUACCUUAAACCGACACAGGUAGACAAAUUGAGUAAAUUAAGGCGCUUGAGUUAAUUAUGUUGAAGGAACUCGGCAAAAUGACCCCGUAACUUUUGGAGAAGGGGUAGCUUUUUUAGGGUAACCUUUAAAAGCUGUCACAAAAUCGGGGACAGCGACUGCUUAAUAAAAGCACAGGUCUCUGCUAAUUUGUAAAAAGAUGUAUUGAGACUGACGCCUGCCCAGUGCUGUAAGAUUAAAAAAAAAAGUUAAUUGCUUUUUUUAUAACUCCCAGUAAACGGCGGCUGUAAUUCUGACGGUCCUAAGGUAGCGAAAUUCCUUGGCAUUUAAUUGGUGUCCUGCAUGAAUGGCGUAACGACUGUCCCACUGUCUCCAGCAUAAGCUCAGUGAAAUUGAAAUUUCCGUGAAGAUGCGGAAUACUUGCGGCUAGACGGAAAGACCCCGUGCACCUUUACUAUAGUUAUAUAUUGAAAUAAAAUAUUUUUUAUACAGUAUAAGUGGGAGUUAUAUUGAAUAUAUUAUUCAAUUUAUUAAACUUUUGCGCAAGCAAAUUGUUUAAACGUAAGUGAAAUACCACUUUAAAGAUAUCUUAUUUCUAAUUAAGUAAGACAAUGUAUAAUGGGUAGUUUGACUGGGGCGGUCGCCUCCUAAAGAGUAACGGAGGCGUACUAAGGUAAAUUUGAAUUAAAAAUACUAAUUUGUAAGCGUAAUAGUAAAUAUUUGCUUGACUGUAAGAUCGACAGAUCAAACAGGGACGAAAGUCGGUUAUAGUGAUCCGAUGAUUCUGUGUGGAAAAGAUCAUCGCUCAACGAAUAAAAGGUACGCCGGGGAUAACAGGCUAAUCAUUCUCUAGAGACCCUAUCGACGGAAUGGUUUGGCACCUCGAUGUUGGAUUAUCGCAUCCUGGAGCUGUAAGUGGUUCCAAGGGUUUGGCUGUUCGCCAAGGAAAGCGGUACAUGAUCUGAGUUUAGAACGUCGUGAGACAGUUUGGUCCCUAUCUACCGCAAGUGUAGAAAACUGAAAGGACUAGACCCUAGUACGAGAGGACUGGGGAAAGCAAAUCUCUGGUGAAACGAUUGUUAUACCAAUAGCAUCGUCGUGUAGCUAAAUUUGUAAUAAAUAAUCGCUGAAAGCAUCUAAGCGAGAAAUUAACCUUAAAACUAGUUUUUGUAUAAUUGUAAUAGAUGAUUACAUUGAUAGGCUUGAAGUGCAAGAAUUGUGAAAUUUUUAGCUGACAAGUACUAAAAACAAUUUAGACUUUUUAAC